ACAGACUAUACACGUGUAGGGUGGAUAUAACAUGACAAAUUCGGCAACCCUACAUAUUCCCGUAUUAUAUCUCUGUUCCACCAUCUCUCUCACACACUCUAAACCUCAUUAUUCGUAAAUCCCACACACUUUGUUUUGAAGUGAAACGAAGAGUAGCUAUCAAAGGAGGAACGUCUCUGCCACCGGAAAAUAAGUCUAAGGAGAUAGUCAUGUUUCCAUUUUCCAAACCUUUUAUCUUCUUUGAUCGAGUUUACCGGGUUUGAUGGUGCGGUGUAUUGGACGUGGUGAUUUGCAUUACUCACUGUGUGGUGACACCGUCUAUUGCUGAGUCAGAUUAUACUUGUCUUGAAACAUCAAGGAGAGAAAUGUGACUCAUACAAUUGUUGACACCGAGUGCUAAUCAGAAUAAAGAACUUGAGCCUCAUAUUGUAGUUUAUUUGGUGGUGAGGCGAGAGAAGUCAAUUUCAAUUUCAUGGGGAAAGCAAUACAAAACUUAGUUGCUGCGGAAAAAUCGUGCUUUUUACCCAUUUCCAGAGGAGCCACCAGAAUUUUGAAUGUAUCCAUACACUCUAAUAGUCUGAUACUGUAUUAACUCGGGAUCUAAGUUUUCUAUUGCAGUAUAAAUGUUAAAUGUCAACAUUUUGUGCAAUCUGUUAAAUGAAUUAGGAAUUGCAUUUUGAUAAUUUGUCUGUCUAUUGUUUUAUAAUGCUUGGUGUCAUUGUAAGGGGUGACCACGGGUCUGAAUCAACCCAUGAACCCAAUCAACCCAAACCAAACUAAUAGCAAGAAAGUGGUUUGGUUUGCUUCUUGGGUUGAUGAAUUUAAAUUCUGAAAUAACUGAUCGAACAUGAUAUACUAUUAUAAAUCUGUUGUUAAUUCCCUUCUCUACUGUCGGAACAUCUGCUGACCACCAACUUAAAGUCGCUAUCCAAUUCCUGCUUUUUUUAACUCAAAGUCCUAAACAAUUAAAAGGGUAAAACCAAAUCUAACCUCUCUCUGUUGAAUGCCAUGGAUACCAACUCCAGAAUCCUUUUGCUCCUCUCUUAUGUCACAUCCUGCCCUCCUUCCAUGAGGAUUCUUAUUUUUUAUUAUUUGACCUGGGUACUUGAUUUCAACAAAUGCAAACGUCAGGUUGUUUUGGUAUGGGUUCUUAACAAAUUUGGUAGGAACCUAACCAAUCCAAACGAUAUGAAUUACUUUUCUCUAAUAUUUAUUAACAUUGAUAACACUGAAAAGUUUGCAGUUAACCUUAAGAGGUCAUAGCUUUUAUGGCGAACAUCCAAGUAAAUAACAAUAAAUGCAAAGGAAACAAACAAUUCAACAGGUUUAGGGUUUGAAGAAAAAGAUAUAGAAAACUACAUCCAAUUAGGGACUUUUUAAAUUCUAGAAAGGGUAAGAAAUUUCAGCUUUGCCUAUAAAAACGACAUCGUUUUUAAGGCAAAAGUGGAUUUUUGCAGAGUCUCACUAUAGCACUGGUACAACCACUAUUUUGUAAUCGUGGGCCCUUUCGGCGGCUAUACGAAAAUGCACCACACCACUUUUCAACAUGUGCCAAAAGUUAAUGAUCAGAGCAAUGAGAUAUAUAAGUAAACAUACCAUAAAAUGUAAGAUUAGGAAUACGCGUUUUCAGGCUAUAGCUGUAAUAGUACCUAUUGAAAUGAUGAACGAAAUUUGUUUGUGGUGAUUUGUUCAUUAGAGAACAUAUAUAGAGGCUCUAAGUAGAAAGUGAAUAUGUUGGUGCAUAGGGGUUAUUUAUUGUUCUUGUUGUUGGCAGCUUUGCUGCAUGUCUUAGCCACUUGGUGCUUUUGACUUUUAUUUUUCAGUUUAGAGGGAGACCUUAUCUCACCUGGUGGUUGUUUCACUGUUUUCUCUCAAUAUUUUUUUUUUCGGAAAGAAAAAUUGCUUGUUACCAGCAAGCAAUUAAUAUUUUUGGCUUAAUUUUGUGACAAUGAAUUAAAGGGAAAGAUUGUAACUUGGGCAUUUCAACUAUUAAAUGGAAAAAUAUUUUGUGGAUGCCUAUUCAGUUUAUAGAUAAGAAACUAUGGGAAAUAUUGAUCAAUUGAAGCAUGUUUGGGAUAAUUGACAUAGUAAUUUACAUGACAUGGAAAUUUCGUUUGAUUUGUAUGAUUAGAUCUCUUGGUUAAUAAAUUGCUGACCACUCUUUUGAUGUUUGUGGUUAUAUAUGGAAUGAAGUUUAUUGUAUCAGUAAAAUUGUCUGUUUAUGAGUUUUGAUUUCUGGCUUCUCUGGUUUAUAUCAAUCAGUUUACUUGUUAGAUGCGUUUCAUACCAAUAUUCUCUAUAUCUUCAUUGGUAUAUUUUCAGGUUCUUGUCAUUUGAAUAUGCUUAUAACAUAGGAGCAUAUUCAGUCAAAAAUGGUGGCUAUAUUAAACUUUUAUUCUUUUGUCUUCAAAUAGGAUGCAUCCAUUGGAUUCACUUAGAGAUAUUCCCUGGCAAGUAUUCUGUAUGGAUUAUAUUUUUCAUGUUGUGGAGUGAACCUGUCCCUGCUUGCUGCAUAUCUCACCCAUCCUUUUUUCCAGUGCUUCUACAUGAGACUCCUUAGGGCAUCUUGGUGGUCAGACAACCAGAUGAUAAAAAUUAAAUUGAAGAAAAACUCAGGGAUUGCAAUAUCAUCACAGAAAAAUGAAUAUAUGCAAUCACAUAGGGACUGAGAACCACAGGGUCUGUCCUCUCGAGGACUGUUGCUUCUUGCUGAGAGACCCCAAGCCUCAUCUGUAAUCCUCAGCUAUACAAAACCAAAUGCCUUCAUUACCCACUCUCUCCACUAAAUAGUAUA